rnacentral:rRNA from 1 species
CGUAGGUGGCAAGCGUUAUCCGGAAUUAUUGGGCGUAAAGCGCGCGUAGGCGGUUUCUUAAGUCUGAUGUGAAAGCCCACGGCUCAACCGUGGAGGGUCAUUGGAAACUGGGAAACUUGAGUACAGAAGAGGAAAGUGGAAUUCCAUGUGUAGCGGUGAAAUGCGCAGAGAUAUGGAGGAACACCAGUGGCGAAGGCGACUUUCUGGUCUGUAACUGACGCUGAUGUGCGAAAGCGUGGGGGAUCAAACAGGAUU